GAGGCGAGGAGGAGACACAGCCAGGACAGGUGACUCCAGCUGUCCAAAGGGAUAUUCCAGACCAUGGGACAUCACGUAAAGAGGGGGGAAGAAGGAGCAAUUUGAGGGGAUGCUGUUUGUCUUCCCAAGUAACUGUUGGAUGUGAUGGGGCACUGCUUCCCUGGGGAUGGCUGAACACCUGCCUGCCUGCCCAUGGGCAGCAGUGAAUUAAUUCCUUGUUUUGCUUUGCUUGUGUGCGCAGCUUUUCCGUUCCCUAUUAAACUAUCUUUAUCUCAACCCAUGAGUUUUCUGGCUUUCACCUUUCUGAUUCUCUCCCUGAUCCCAGUGUUUGUGAGGCAUAGUGAGCAGGUGGCUGUGUGGGGCUUGGCUGCUGGCUGAAAAUUAUUGAAAAUUAGUAGAAUGACCAGAGUAGCAGGAACAAACAGCAAAGUUUAAUAAUUUUGUAUAUUUAAUAUGGUAUUUUAAAAUAAACCAUAAUUGAGUGGUGGCAUGGAGUUAUAAUCUCAUUAUUUUUCUUUGCAGCUUCUGAGGCCAGGGAAGGAGAAACAGCAGUGUGAGCAGAGCCUAACCUUGACCAUCAAGGUGAGGAGCAGUUCACACCUCCUCUGCCAAGCCCCUCAGGGUGUGCUGCCUGAGCUUCCUGCUGAAGGUGACACUCCAGCAAGAGCUGCAUUCCAGAAUUUGGAAAUUCAACCAGUAUGGACAAAAGUAUCAAAAUUUAUGUGUUUCUUUCGUUUUUGCAUUUAAGUAGUUCGGAUUUCACUGAAAAUUCUUUGAGAUUGUCAGCACAUAGAAGAUUAGAAUCGGUAUCAUAAUGAAGAGUAAUUAAGGCCUUUCCUAGAUACCAGAAGGCAAUCACGGAAAGCUCUUUUCUUUCUUUCCAAGUCUUAUCUGGUGCUAUCAAGAUUAAAUGAAGCGCAACUCAUGGUUAAUGAAGUUUUUACCAUUCUACUAAAAUAAAAUCUAGUCUCUUAAAAUGCUUCCCUUUUGCCUUUCAUACACAAUUUAUGUCCAUACUUUGUCUAUUCUAGUGGAGUCAUAUGCCAUAUUUAGCCCAGAUAAACGUUUUUAGAUUUUACUAAUUUCAAAACAUUGUCAAGUAGACACACUAGUGUGUCUUCUUUAUGUAUUGUCAGCCUGAUUCAUAUGCCUGUAAGUUCAUCUAAGACUCUUUUUACUAUUGCACAGAAGACAAAUGACACCUUUCAGGGAAAUACCUACUAGUGUUUCAAUCACUGCUGCUGCUUUUCAGCUAGGAUUAUUAAAAAAUUCAAACUUUACUUUCCUAGAAUUGCAGAAUUGCAUUUUAGUCAUUUUAGAUGCUGGAGUCCAGUUUAAGAGGGUGAUUUGCAGCACUAGGUACUACAGUGAUUAAUGAGAUUUCAGUAGCUUUUCCAUAGCCUCUUGCCUAGAGGAAAAAAAAAGGAAAAAAAAAGAAAAAUCAACAAACAAACCCACCCCAAACCCUUAAUGGCAGAUUAGUUGUGUGCCUUUCACUGCUUCUUGUAAACUGUUGGACUCCUAAAGGUUUCAUUUUUUAAUGAGAACCAUUUCAACAAGAGCUUUAGAAGAUGCAGAGGACAUUCAAGGAACUUGUGAAAAUUCCUUAUGUUCUGCUUUAUAAAAAGUCUGCUAGACACAUUUGGCACAAGCUGUGAAUUGACCCUGAUUUCCAAGCAUUUAAACGGUCCCAAUAAAAUGCCAAUUCUGCAAUACUUUUAUAUUUUCCCUUUUUUCCAAGUGUAUAUUAAGUACACAUCUGAAGAAACAAUAUUGUACUCCUUUAUUUUAGAUGUAGGCAGCAGUCACAAGAGAUUAAAUGCUGGUGUGUGUAACGAAGCAUGAGGAUGACAAGAUAUGUGAACCAGAGGCUUUUCAGCUCAAUCACAUCAUCCAGGACAUAAUUAUACAGAUUUUGUAUUUCAGACACCAAUGUCGCCUUGGGGUUGAAGUCAUUCUAGAUGAAUCUGUGUGAGUAAGUAUUAAUAAGAUAGUUCCCCACACCCAAUUACCUUCCUGCCUUAAAAAUAGAAAGUAAAAUGAGUCGUUCUGAGUUUAGAGAUGAGUUAUAUGUGUGUGGUAUUUGUGAUGGAAAAUUCUUUCUGAAAUAAACACAGUAAAAAAUG